GAUGAACGCUGGCGGCGUGCCUAAUACAUGCAAGUCGAGCGAACAGAUGAGGAGCUUGCUCCUCUGACGUUAGCGGCGGACGGGUGAGUAACACGUGGAUAACCUACCUAUAAGACUGGGAUAACUUCGGGAAACCGGAGCUAAUACCGGAUAAUAUAUUGAACCGCACGGUUCAAUAGUGAAAGACGGUUUUGCUGUCACUUAUAGAUGGAUCCGCGCCGCAUUAGCUAGUUGGUAAGGUAACGGCUUACCAAGGCAACGAUGCGUAGCCGACCUGAGAGGGUGAUCGGCCACACUGGAACUGAGACACGGUCCAGACUCCUACGGGAGGCAGCAGUAGGGAAUCUUCCGCAAUGGGCGAAAGCCUGACGGAGCAACGCCGCGUGAGUGAUGAAGGUCUUCGGAUCGUAAAACUCUGUUAUUAGGGAAGAACAAAUGUGUAAGUAACUAUGCACGUCUUGACGGUACCUAAUCAGAAAGCCACGGCUAACUACGUG
rnacentral:rRNA from 1 species